rnacentral:rRNA from 1 species
UACGGGGGGGGGCAAGCGGUGUUCGGAAUUACUGGGCGUAAAGCGUGUGCAGGGGGCUGUACAAGUCGGUUGUGAAAUCCCUGGGCUCAACCCGGGAACUGCUUCCGAGACUGUACGGCUAGAGAUCGGUAGAGGGCGGUGGAAUUUCCGGUGUAGCGGUGAAAUGCGUAGAUAUGUGGAGGAAUACCGGUGGCGAAGGCGGCCUCCUGGUUCAAUACUGACGCUGAGGUGCGAAAGCGUGGGGAGCAAACAGG